rnacentral:rRNA from 1 species
AGUGAACGCUGGCGGUAGGCCUAACACAUGCAAGUCGAACGGCAGCACAGUAAGAGCUUGCUCUUACGGGUGGCGAGUGGCGGACGGGUGAGGAAUACAUCGGAAUCUACUUUUUCGUGGGGGAUAACGUAGGGAAACUUACGCUAAUACCGCAUACGACCUACGGGUGAAAGCAGGGGAUCUUCGGACCUUGCGCGAUUGAAUGAGCCGAUGUCGGAUUAGCUAGUUGGCGGGGUAAAGGCCCACCAAGGCGACGAUCCGUAGCUGGUCUGAGAGGAUGAUCUGCCACACUGGAACUGACACACGCUCCACACUCCUACAGGAGGCAGCAGUGGGGAAUAUUGGACAAUGGACGCAAGCCUGUUCCAGCCGUCCCGCGUGGGUGAAGAAGGCCUUCGGGUUGUAAAGCCCUUUUGUUGGGAAAGAAAAGCAGCAGGUUAAUACCCCGCUGUUCUGACGGUACCCAAUGAAUAAGCACCGGCUAACUUCGUG